rnacentral:rRNA from 1 species
AACGAACGCUGGCGGCAGGCUUAACACAUGCAAGUCGAACGGGCACCUUCGGGUGUCAGUGGCAGACGGGUGAGUAACGCGUGGGAACGUACCCUUCGGUUCGGAAUAACCCAGGGAAACUUGGGCUAACACCGGAUACGUCCGCAAGGAGAAAGAUUUAUCGCCGAAGGAUCGGCCCGCGUCGGAUUAGCUAGUUGGUGGGGUAAUGGCCCACCAAGGCGACGAUCCGUAGCUGGUCUGAGAGGAUGANCAGCCACACUGGACUGAGACACGGCCCAGACUCCUACGGGAGGCAGCAGUGGGGAAUCUUGCGCAAUGGGCGAAAGCCUGACGCAGCGACGCCGCGUGCGGGAAGAAGGCC